AGAGUUUGAUCCUGGCUCAGGAUGAACGCUAGCGGCAGGCUUAACACAUGCAAGUCGAGGGGCAGCACGGGUAGCAAUACUUGGUGGCGACCGGCGCAAGGGUGCGUAACGCGUGAGCAACAUGCCCGUAUCAGGGGGAUAAUCCAUGGAAACGUGGUCUAAUACCCCAUAGUAAGUUUUUGGGGCAUCUCAAAGAUUUUAAAGCUUUGGUGGAUACGGAUUGGCUCGCGUGACAUUAGCUAGAUGGUAAGGUAACGGCUUACCAUGGCUACGAUGUCUAGGGGUUCUGAGAGGAAGGUCCCCCACACUGGAACUGAGACACGGUCCAGACUCCUACGGGAGGCAGCAGUGAGGAAUAUUGGACAAUGGAUGGAAAUCUGAUCCAGCCAUGCCGCGUGCAGGAAGACGGCCCUAUGGGUUGUAAACUGCUUUUGUAUGGGAGCAAUAAGGGCUACGUGUAGUCCGAUGAGAGUACCAUACGAAUAAGCACCGGCUAACUCCGUGCCAGCAGCCGCGGUAAUACGGAGGGUGCAAGCGUUAUCCGGAUUUAUUGGGUUUAAAGGGUGCGUAGGCGGUUUGAUAAGUCAGCGGUGAAAUAUUUCAGCUUAACUGGAAGGGUGCCGUUGAUACUGUCGAGCUUGAAUUUAGUUGCUGUGGGUGGAAUGUGUGGUGUAGCGGUGAAAUGCAUAGAUAUCACACAGAAUAUCGAUUGCGAAGGCAGCUCACAAAGCUAAUAUUGACGCUGAUGCACGAAAGUGUGGGGAUCAAACAGGAUUAGAUACCCUGGUAGUCG
rnacentral:rRNA from 1 species